rnacentral:siRNA from 1 species
UGAGAGCGUUUUUGUGCGUGCCCC